AGAGUUUGAUUAUGGCUCAGGAUUAACGCUGGCGGCGUGCCUAAUACAUGCAAGUCGAAUGGUUAGCUUGCUAACCAUGGCGAACGGGUGAGUAACACGUAGGUAACCUGUCUUUUUAGCCGAGGAUAACCAUUGGAAACGAUGGAUAAUACUGGAUAGGACAUUUGAAGGCAUCUUUGGAUGUUUAAAGAUUUAUCACUAGAAGAGGGGCCUGCGGCGCAUUAGCUAGUUGGGGGUGUAAGGGACCACCAAGGCGAUGAUGCGUAGCCGGACUGAGAGGUUGAACGGCCACAAUGGGACUGAGAACGGCCCAUACUCCUACGGGAGGCAGCAGUAGGGAAUUUUCGGCAAUGGACGGAAGUCUGAACCCGAGCAACGCCGCGUGAACGAAGAAGUAUUUCGGUAUGUAAAGUUCUUUUAUUUGGGAAGAAAAGGUUUGAUUGACUGUACCAAAUGAAUAAGCUCCGGCUAACUACGUGCCAGCCGCUGC
rnacentral:rRNA from 1 species